ACACCAGGAAAGUUCCGGGUCUGGAAGCUGCGUUGGCUGAGGCCGGGAGAGGCCCAGGACUGGAGUCUGCGGGCCUCCCUGAGCGUCGCCAUUGCGCUUCGGUGCUGUGCUUGUGUGUUGUUUAUUUAUUUAUUUAAACGGAGUCUCGCUCAGUCGCCCAGGCUGGAGUACAGUGGCGGGACCUCGGCUCACUGCAAGCUCCACCUCCCAGGUUCAAGCGACUCUCCUGCCUCAAGCCUCCCGAGUAGUUGGCACUACAGGCGCCCAGCACCACGCCCGGCUAAUUUUGUAUUUUUAGUAGAGACGAGGUUUCACCAUGUUGGCCAGGCGGCUCUCAAACUCCUGAACUCAAGCGAUCCUCUGGCUUCCGCCUCCCAAACUGCUGGGAUUGCAGGUUCAUCAUGACGUCUGGUCAUCCCUCGACAGGUUCCGAGCUUCCCCUCCUUCCUCACUCCUGCGACCUCAGGAGCAGCCUCCCAACAGCUUUCCUGGGUCCGUCGUUCCCCUCUGAUCUGAAACCCGCACGGAAGUCAGGUACCAGGUCUUCUGCCUGAGGCCUCUGGCAGCUCCCACUCUGCUGUGAAUGAACCCCCAACACCUGGCCUCUGCCUUCCCCUGUGUACCUCCAGCCACAGCAACUUCCACCCCCAUUCCCAGCCCACCAAGCCCUUUCCUGUCUCGGGGACAUUGCGCAUGCGAUGCCUCCUCCACAGAGAGGACCUCCCUGACCACUGUCCUAAUGGGCCUUUCCAUCACUGUGGCCUCCACGGCACUUGUCACCACCCAUUCGUUUGUUUACUGGUUGUUGGUCACAUACGAGUGUGAAUUCCACCAGGGCAGGAAUCACAUUCUGGCUCAGUCCCCACCGAAUGCUCAGUGCCUGAACACUUGUUCAACCAGUUGCCCUCUUUCUUUUUUCAAAACGUUUUGAAAUGGAGUUUUGCUCUUCUUGCCCAGGCUGGAGUGCAGUGGUGCGAUCUUGGCUCACUGCAACCUCCGCCUCCCGGGUUCAAGCGAUUCUCCUGCCUCAGCUUCCUGAGUAGCUGGGAUUACAGGCAUGCGCCACCAUGCUGGGCUAAUUUUGUAUUUUUAGUAGAGACUGGGCUUCUCCAUGUUGCUCAGGCUGGUCUCAAAUUCCCGACCUCAGGUGAUCCACCCGCCUUGGCCUCCCAAAGUGCUAGAAUUACAGGUGUGAGCCACCGUGCCCAGUCUCUUUUUAAAAUUUUUUGAGACGGAGUUUUGCUGUUUCACCCAGGUUGGAGUGAGGUGGCGCAAUCUCAGCUCACAGCAGCCUCCACCCCCUGGGUUCAAGUGAUUCUGCCUCAGCCUCCGUAGUAGCUGGGAUUACAGGCAACCACCACCACGCCUGGUUAAUUUUUUAUAUAUUUAGUAGAGACAGGGUUUCACCAUAUUGGCCAGGCUGGUCUCGAACUCCUGAUCUCAGGUGAUCCACCCCCCCGCCCCCGCUUUGGCCUCCCUAAGUGCUAGGAUUACAGGCGUGAGCCACCGUGCCCAGCCUCAGUUACCCUCUUUCGACCUUUCUUCCCUGGGCGUCAGACAUUGCUAUUGGUGCAUUGUGUAAUAUUUUGCGACAUCCUUGUCCCUGCCUGUUACUCUGUGCAUAGAAUAGGGCUCAUUUCUGCUUCUCCGGAUGGGUGGGCUAGAGUCUAGAUACUUUGGAGGGAAUAUUAUGUGUAGUGACUUUAGUGUCGUCUCUGCCUUUAAGGAAUGGGAGGUCCUCUGCCUUCCGUGUAGUCACUGUUGUUUCCAUUCUACCACAUUGGCAUCCAGCCUCUACCCCUUUGUUGCAAGAAAGAAUAAAUCUGAUAAGAGGCACAGGAGAAUCCCGAGACCUGGGACGCCCAGGGCAGAUACGCCAUCCUACACUGUGGCCUGGUGACCUAAAAACAACUCAGACACAGAUUUUUACAAUUUUUUUAAUAUAUAUUUUUAUAAACAGGUCACGUGAUAAAAUAGCACAAGAAACACUUACCAAAUAUAAGGUUAUAUCUUCCGCAUA
ensembl:lncRNA